UGGCGGACGGGUGAGGAAUGCGUCGGAAUCUACCCUAUGGUGGGGGAUAACUCAGGGAAACUUGAGCUAAUACCGCAUAAUGUCGAGAGACCAAAGCAGGGGACCGUAAGGCCUUGCGCGAUAGGAUGAGCCGACGCCCGAUUAGCUAGUUGGUAGGGUAAAGGCCUACCAAGGCGACGAUCGGUAGCUGGUCUGAGAGGAUGAUCAGCCACACUGGGACUGAGACACGGACCAGACUCCUACGGGAGGCAGCAGUGGGGAAUUUUGGACAAUGGGCGAAAGCCUGAUCCAGCCAUGCCGCGUGAGUGAAGAAGGCCUUCGGGUUGUAAAGCUCUUUCAGCCGGAAAGAAAACGCAUGGGUUAAUAACCUGUGUGGAUGACGGUACCGGAAGAAGAAGCACCGGCUAACUACGUGCCAGCAGCCGCGGUAAUACGGAGGAUCCAAGCGUUAUCCGGAAUCAUUGGGUUUAAAGGGUCCGUAGGCGGUCAGGUAAGUCAGUGGUGAAAGCCCAUCGCUCAACGGUGGAACGGCCAUUGAUAC
rnacentral:rRNA from 1 species